UACGUAGGGUGCGAGCGUUAAUCGGAAUUACUGGGCGUAAAGCGUGCGCAGGCGGCUUUGCAAGACAGAUGUGAAAUCCCCGGGCUCAACCUGGGAACUGCAUUUGUGACUGCAAGGCUAGAGUACGGCAGAGGGGGAUGGAAUUCCGCGUGUAGCAGUGAAAUGCGUAGAUAUGCGGAGGAACACCAAUGGCGAAGGCAAUCCCCUGGGCCUGUACUGACGCGUCAUGCACGAAAGCGUGGGGAGCAAACAGG
rnacentral:rRNA from 1 species